rnacentral:lncRNA from 1 species
UUUGUUUUUAUUUUUAGAAUAUGUUAGUUUAAUAAUUCUUUCAUCUUGAUUGCAAUAUUGUUAGAUUUAAUUUGAAAUUUAAUUGAUUAUUGAGCUUAGUGAAUUGAAUCCGUGUUUUUUUAUUCUGUUAAGUCUAAAUUUAGAUAUGAGUUAGAGAUUUGAAUUUAUUUGUUUGAUAUGUUAAGUUUAAUUUGAAUUUACUCGUUUGUUAUUGUUGUUGGAUCUGAAAGUGUGUUUUUUGUUAAAAUAUUGUUGGUUCUUUGUUGUUCAUCAUAUAAUUUGAAUUGUUGUUUGAAUUUGAUUAAGAAUUGAUUAUAGUUGUUAUAUUUUGGUUAAUUGGUUUAGGUGAAUUGGUUAUAGCUGAUAGAGGUAGAGUAGUAAUUUUUAGUAGUUUCAGGGGUAAUAUGGGAAUUGAAGAUAUAAGGAAUUGCUUAAUAAUAUGGUGGGAGACAAGACAAAAGGUAGUGGACAAGACAUAGUUAUUAAAGUAAAAGGGUGGGGACUGUAGGGUUCAUAUUUGACUACUUUUUGCUUUAAUAAUAAAAGCUGGAAAGUAAAAGUAAAAGGAAGGGGAAAUAAUAAAAGGGGUAGGGAUAAUAAUUAAAGGGUAGAAGAAAGCCUCUUGCAUUUGGGGUAUAUAAUAGCAGUCACUUAACACAUAGGGAGAGGACUGGAAUUUAGAGAGAAAAUAUUUCAGUACUAGAGGGAAGAAAGAAAAAGACUUCUAAGAAUUUUUGAGUGUUUGAAAGUUAGAAAUUAAAGAAAAAAUAUGUUCUUCUUCACUGUUAACAAUUAGCAUCAACUGAUAUUGUUCAUUAAAGUUUCAAGCUUCUUUUUUACGAGUGUUAAAAAUCAGAAGUUAUUUUUUGGCAACUGGUUUUCUUGCUUGGUUGCAAUCUCCUUGGUUUUCUGCUAUUCCCGCUGUCACUGGGCUACUCUUGCGUUGUUGAACUGUUGUUGCUGUGUGUAUGCUGCUAUUGCUUCCUACUGACCUUCCUCUUCUUUGUAUUCCAAUACGAGGUACACCACUUUGAAUCAUUUUGAUGUACGCCUUGAAGAUGAAUCGAAAUGGC